ACAUAGGGGGCAAGCGUUAUCCGGAUUUAUUGGGCGUAAAGCGUGCGUAGGCGGUUUAUUAGGUCAGGCGUAAAAGAUCACAGCUCAACUGUGUAGGGCGUUUGAAACCGGUAGACUUGAAUACGGUAGGGGCAGGUGGAAUUCCAUGUGUAGCGGUGGAAUGCGUAGAUAUAUGGAGGAACACCAAUGGCGAAGGCAGCCUGCUGGGCCGGAAUUGACGCUGAGGCACGAAAGCGUGGGGAGCAAACAG
rnacentral:rRNA from 1 species